GACCGCUUAGGUGGCCUUGUGGUUAGAGGGUCCGCCUCGGAUGCGGAAGGUCGCAGGUUCGAACCAUGGCUGAGUCA